rnacentral:rRNA from 1 species
GAUGAACGCUAGCGGCAGGCUUAACACAUGCAAGUCGAGGGGCAGCACAAAGAUAGCUUGCUAUUUUGGUGGCGACCGGCGAAUGGGUGAGUAACGCGUAUGCAACCUACCCUCUACAGGAAGAUAGCUUGGAGAAAUCCAAAUUAAUAUUCCAUAAUAUCAUUUAGACACAAGUUUAAGUGAAGAAAGCUUUGGCGGUAGAGGAUGGGCAUGCGUCCUAUUAGUUAGUUGGUGGGGUAACGGCUCACCAAGACAGCGAUAGGUAGGGGGCCUGAGAGGGUGAUCCCCCACACUGGUACUGAGACACGGACCAG